rnacentral:other from 1 species
AAACCUCUGCCGUGUCCGUAUUGGAAUAUUGUUGAGAACCUGACACAAUAUUGGGAGCCUCCAUUCGGCGACGUAUGACUUGCCGCGCCAUGUGUUGCGGUUGUCAAAAGCCGCCUUUCGGCGCCCACCUGUCUAUGGGUUCGUGACAGCAACUCCAUACGGCUUCGGGCGGAGGUUUU